rnacentral:snoRNA from 1 species
UUCCCUGUUUGACUACCACUUCAAAUCUUAAUAAUAGGUUGUAGUGGUUAUGCUUCUGGGAAAGAUCAAAAUUGCCAUGAUCUGAAGGGGAGGGUCUUUUGUGUCCUCUUCCUGUAUGAAAUGGCCAUACAGAAAAUG